UACGUAGGGUGCAAGCGUUAAUCGGAAUUACUGGGCGUAAAGCGUGCGCAGGCGGCUUUGCAAGACAGAUGUGAAAUCCCCGGGCUUAACCUGGGAACUGCAUUUGUGACUGCAUGGCUAGAGUGCGGCAGAGGGGGAUGGAAUUCCGCGUGUAGCAGUGAAAUGCGUAGAUAUGCGGAGGAACACCGAUGGCGAAGGCAGCCCCCUGGGAUGAGACUGACGCUCAUGUACGAAAGCGUGGGGAGCAAACAGG
rnacentral:rRNA from 1 species